rnacentral:lncRNA from 1 species
AAUUAAUAGAGAAACGGGAGCAUGAACUUUUAAUCGUUGAUUCUCUUAUUUUAGACGAAUCUAAUUGUGGUUCUUACUCUCAACAAAUUAAGGAUUACAAACAUAUUAUAUAUAUAUAUAU